rnacentral:lncRNA from 1 species
AGGUGGGGUACUUGUGGGAUUGUCUCGGUGGUGGUGUUGAAGACNNNNNNNNNNNNNNNNNNNNNNNNNUUUUUUUUUUUGAGGUGGAGUCUCGCACUCUCACCCUGGCUGGAGUGCAAUGGUGCGAUCUUGGGUCACUGCAACCUCCACCUCCCGGGUUCACAUGAUUCUCUUGCCUCAGCCUCCCAAGUAGCUGGGAUUACAGGUGCACACCAUGACACCCGGCUAAUGUUUUGUAUUUUUAGUAGAGACGGGUUUUCACUAUGUUGGCCAGACUGGUCUCGAACUACUGAUUUUGUGAUCCACCUGCCUCGUCCUCCCAAAGUGUUGGGAUUACAGGCGUGAGCCACGGCACCCGGCCGGGGAGGGGAAUUGAAGGGUCUUCCCUGGAGCUGGGGUUGGGUGUCUGGGUCCCCUCAGAUCUGCAGGUUCGGACCUGAGCCCAGGGAUCCUUGGUGUUUCAGAUGCAGAAGAUUUUUGCAGACAUGCAGGGCUUCACCUUCAAGGGUGUGGAGAUCCUGUCCCUGAGGAAUGGCAGCAUCGUGGUGGACUACCUGGUCCUGCUGGAGAUGCCCUUCAGCCCCCAGCUGGAGAGCCAGUACGAGCAGGUGAAGACCACGCUGAAGGAGGGGCUGCAGAACGCCAGCCAGGAUGCGAACAGCUGCCAGGACUCCCAGACCCUGUGUUUUAAGCCUGACUCCGUCAAGGUGAACAACAACAGCAAGACAGAGCUGACCCCGGAAGCCAUCUGCCGCCGCGCCGCUCCCACGGGCUAUGAGGAGUUCUACUUCCCUCUGGUGGAGGCUACCCGGCUCCGCUGUGUCACCAAAUGCACGUCGGGCGUGGACAACGCCAUCGACUGUCACCAGGGCCAGUGCGUUCUGGAGACGAGCGGUCCCGCGUGUCGCUGCUACUCCACCGACACGCACUGGUUCUCUGGCCCGCGUUGCGAGGUGGCCGUCCACUGGAGGGCGCUGGUCGGGGGCCUGACGGCCGGCGCCGCGCUGCUGGUGCUGCUGCUGCUGGCGCUGGGCGUCCGGGCGGUGCGCUCCGGAUGGUGGUGCGGCCAGCGCCGAGGCCGGUCCUGGGACCAGGACAGGAAAUGGUUCGAGACCUGGGAUGAGGAAGUCGUGGGCACUUUUUCAAACUGGGGUUUCGAGGACGAAGGAACAGACAAGGAUACAAAUUUCUAUGUGGCCUUGGAGAACGUGGACACCACUAUGAAGGUGAGGGGCUAAAGAGGGGGACCCCAAGGAACUCUCCCAGCCUCCAUUCCAGAAUCCCUCCCCGACCCCCACCAGGGCAGGGAGGGGGCUGGGCUCGGAUCAGCAGUGACCUCCCUGUCAGCCCAAACCAGUGGCUUCGCGUUCCCGUCCCUCACUGUGACUCUGACAGGUGCACAUCAAGAGACCCGAGAUGACCUCCUCCUCAGUGUGAGCCCUGCGGGGCCCCUUCACCACCCCCUCCGCCACCCCCUCCGCCCUGCCUCGGACACAAGGGUCUGCACUGCGUCCAUUUCAAGAGGUGGCCCCAGGACGCGGGCAGCCCAGGCUCCUGCUGUUCUUGGGGAAGAUGAGACUGUUUCCCCAAAUCCCAUCCUUCUCUUUCCAACUUGGCUGAAACCCACCUGGAGACGCAGUUCACGUCCAGGCUCUUCCACUGUGGAAUCGUGGGCAAGUCAGUAACGAGCCUCAGUUUCCUCACCUGCAAAACGGGUACAGCAUUCCUGUAUGAUAUCUCACGCCGUUGUUGUGUAAACCACAUAGACUUGGUCAAUUCUCGAUCCUACUCUGCCCUCCCGUCUCAGCCCUCGUGUUGCCAUUGCCUCUCUCGGAUCCUCCAAUCCUCACGUCCUUCACCUGGUCUCUGGCCCUGGUUCCUAUUUUCUCUCAAUUCCCUACUGCCUGUUUCUUACUCUGAACCUGGAGGCAGCCUGCAGCCCCAUCCCAUCUCCCGCCCUCUCCUGAUCUAACUCCCUGCUGCAUCUCUUGCUCUCAUUCCUUAGACGUCCUCCGCUUUUGACCCCGUUCCUUCAUCCAUCCUGCCCCCCAGUCCCCCAGCCCUAAAUCCUCCCUCCUCUCCUCACAUUCUAGUCCCUAGCAAGGUAUAGAUAGCCUCUGUGUCUUAGGAUACCCCAGGUGCUGUUCCCCCGGUCACCCUGUUGCCCAGUUCCCCGUUUCUCUUGCUCUCAUUCCUUGUAUCUUCUCCCCUUCUGAGCCCAUCCAUUCAUCAGUUCUGCCCCCACUCCCCCAGCCCUAAAUACCCCAGCUCCUAAUCCCCCCCUCACCCCGUUGCCCAAUUCCCCGUUUCUCUUGCUCUCAUUCCUUGUAUCUUCUCCCCUUCUGAGCCUGUCCAUUCAUUGGUGGUUCUGCCCCUACUCCCCCAGCCCUAAAUACCCCAGCUGCUGUUCCUCCCCAUCACCCAGCCACCGGAUUCUCCAUUCACCCCUUUCUCUCACCCCUGGAGCCCCGUGGGUGGGGGCAGGGCAUGAGUUCCCCAGUCCCCAAGGAAAGGCAGCCCCCUCAGUCUCCCUCCUCCUCAUUCCCUUCCAUCUCCCUCCCCUCUGCCUUUUAAACCCAUCCCCUCCGAUUCCCCUCCUCCCCGCUCUCUCCCGAGUCGCAGGUGUCAACUCGAUUCCUGCGGCACCUCUGAGCCCUGAAAUCCUCAGUCUCCUUGGCGGGGAAGAUCGGCUUUGGGAACAGGAAGUCGGCACAUCUCCAGGUCUCCAUGUGCACAAUAUACAGUUUAUUGUAAAAAGCAGCAGCUCUCUGUUUCCUUUUUACCCCCUCAGUGGUCUCCACUUGGUUGGAGAACAGGGAUUUCCAGAGGCGGUGUUGUAGGAGGAUCCUGGGAGCACCCGUGUCUCCCAGGGAGGAAGGAGGAAGGUCUGUGGGCAGCCCUUGGGGGCCAUGACAUUCCUCAUAGAAAACACAGAGGUUGGGGGGGAACCCAUUUUGUUGGAAAGUGACUCGGGGCAGGGGCCCCUUGGGCUUUGUCAUCUGUGCUCUCCACACCCCCACCACUGCCCUGACCUUGACACUGGGGGCUUAGGGAGCAAUUAGACCCCUGGUGUUGGGUCAGGGAGUUGGGUGGUCCAGGGGCUAGGGCUGCCUGGUCCAGCCACCUUUUGCAAGGAUGGGUAAAGCUGAGCCUCCCCAAAGAUCUUGAUCCCCCGACAAGGCCCCCAAACCCUGAUAGCAAACUCACACAGCAGAGCCUGUCUAUGCUGGCGCCGGGCCCUUCUGUUCCUGCUGUUGUGGGCAGUCAGGCCUGCCUGAGGAGUCGAGGGUGAUCAGAAAUAACGUGUCCCCUUGGGUCUUUUGGUGUGGGCUUGGGAGAGGCCCCUGUGAUCUUUGCCCUGGGCAGGGAUGAGCCAUGGCAUUUCGUCACCUCUGUGUCCGGCCAGGGGUGGGGACCAGGACCAUAAAGUCUGAGGUGUGAGUGGGCACCCCGCCCAGGAAAAGGGCUGGAAACUGGGGACCCCAGGGAAAGCCCUGGACAUUUGGAAAGGACCAUGUUGAGGCGGGGGAUGGGGAGGGAUGGCUGGAAGAGAGAGGGGCUUCUCGGGGGUGGGAGUGGAGGGUCCUUCGCUUGGUCUGGCCUGUUGCCAGCUGCCCCUUCCACCGUUGUGAACUUCUCCCUCCAUGGUCACCUGCUCCCCGGCGCUUCUUGGCCCCCACCUCUUGUCACCAGUGGUGUGCUCACACCUCUAGCCUCCGUCCCUCCCUCCUGCACUGCCCCACCCCCAGUGGCUCUGACUUCCGCUGAAAGAGAGGGACCCUGGCUGAGGGCGGUCACUGCUCCAGGACUUAUAAGGGAGGAGGGUGGACAGGCUGCGCUUUGUCCAACUCCCCGUGGUCACCACGUGCCACCGACCCAACAGCAUCACCUCACCUCUACCCUGGGAUAGGCACUGUCCAGGCACUUUGCCCUGCUUCAAGGCAAAGUUCUCUGGGGUCCUUUUUAUAGCUGAUCCCUUCCUGGGAAGCUUUCAUUUCUUGGUCCCUCCUGACGAGGGAAGACGGGCAGCCAGGGGCCCGUUCCCUGGGAGAUGCUGGUGAUCUGGAUUCUGACGCUGGCUCUCCGGCUCUGUGCGUCCGUUACUACAGCGACACCGGGUGAGUGCUCCUGGGCUGAUGCUCCAGGUCCAGUGCUCCUGGGUGGUCAUAGUACACGCCCCUGCCUCAGGCAGCAGGGCUGCAGGUGGCCUCCUCCCCUUUGCAUGGCAAGGGGCUGCCACAGGGCUGGAGACCCAUGCUGUGACCUCAUCUUGCUUUGGGGGUGCUGAAGAGGUCACUUUGGAGACCUGUGGGUGCCUGUGGUUGUGCAGGGGAUGGUCUGCACACAGCUCCUGGCUGAAGGGCAGCUGAAAUCCACAGCUUCUGCUCUCCAGGCUCCCCCCGGGAGGAUGAAGGUGCUUUUGUCACAUAGACAGUGGUCUCUGCCUGCCCUCAUCCUGGGGGCUUUAUCUGCUGGAGGGAUGGGUCUUUCCAAACCUCACGGAGGCACUGCACAUGCUGCUAGCCCUGGUCGGUAGAGAGGGAGUCCAGAGGGGUGUGUGACAGUAUCAUCUCUUGACUUGGAGUAGCCUCAGGUGCACCCGGGGAAUCCCCACCAGUUAAAUGGCUGACGGGGCCAGGCGUGGUGGCUCAUGCUUGUAAUCCCAGCACUUUGGGAGGCCAAGGUGGGUGGAUCACCUGAGGUUGGGAGUUCAAGUCCAGCCUGGCUAACAUGGUGAAACCCCGUCUCUACUAAAAAUACAAAAAUUAACCAGGCAUGGUGGCGCGCACCUCUAAUCCCAGCUACUUGGGAGGCUGAGGCAGGAGAAUCACUGGAACCUGGGAGGUGGAGUCUGCAGUCAGGCAAGAUUGUGCCACUGCACUCCAGCCUGAGCGAUAAGAGCAAAACACUGUCAAAAAAAAAAAAGAGAGAGAGAGAAAGAAAGAGAAAGAAGGAAAGAAGGAAAGAAAGAAAGAAAGAAAGAAAGAGAAAAAAGAAAAAAUGGCUGCCAGUUGCAGUGGCUCGCCUGCAAUCCUAGCACUUUGGGAUGCCAAGGCAGGCAGAUCACGAGGUCAGGAAAUUGAGACCAUCCUGGCCAACAUGGUGAAACCCCAACUCCACCAAAAAUAUAAAAAUUAGCUAGGCAUGGUGGCACAUGCCUGUAGUCCCAGCUACUCAGGAGGCUGAGGCAGGAGAAUCACUUGAACCCUGGAGGCAGAGGUUGCAGUGAGCCGAGAUUGCAUUGCUGCACUCCAGCCUGGCAACAGAGCGAGACUCUCUCAAAAAAACACAAACAAACAAAAAAAGAAACAACAACAACAAAAAACAAACCGUGGCUGAGGGGCUGUAGGAGGAGACAGGGGCUCGGGGGUCCUUGCUCAGCCUGGUCAUGGCUGUGUCUGAGAGAUGACUCUGACCCGCUGAUUUCCCUCAUACAGAACAGACUUUCUGAUUCCUUUCUGGCAGGGGUGGACAGGGAUGAGGAGAGGCGAGAGAGGGAGACCUUGAGUUGAAGGCUGUGGGGUGGGCAGAAGGGGUGGUG